AGUGAACGCUGGCGGUAGGCCUAACACAUGCAAGUCGAACGGCAGCACAGUAAGAGCUUGCUCUUACGGGUGGCGAGUGGCGGACGGGUGAGGAAUACAUCGGAAUCUACUUUUUCGUGGGGGAUAACGUAGGGAAACUUACGCUAAUACCGCAUACGACCUACGGGUGAAAGCAGGGGAUCUUCGGACCUUGCGCGAUUGAAUGAGCCGAUGUCGGAUUAGCUAGUUGGCGGGGUAAAGGCCCACGAAGGCGACGAUCCGUAGCUGGUCUGAGAGGAUGAUCAGCCACACUGGAGCUGAGCCACGGUCCAGACUCCUACGGGAGGCAGCAGUGGGGAAUAUUGGACAAUGGGCGCAAGCCUGAUCCAGCCAUACCGCGUGGGUGAAGAAGGCCUUCGGGUUGUAAAGCCCUUUUGUUGGGAAAGAAAAGCAGCAGGUUAAUACCCCGCUGUUCUGACGGUACCCAAAGAAUAAGCACCGGCUAACUUCGUG
rnacentral:rRNA from 1 species